UUGAAUAAACUUGAUGUGGUUGUAGCUGACCCUCGCAAGAGAGUAUGUGCUCGCCCGUCACCUUUAUCUUUCCACCUGUGCACUCUUUGUAGAUUUGAAUUGUAGUUUUCCGAGGCAACUCGGUUGAGAGGAAUGUCAUUCGUGGCUUUCCUUGUUAAUACGUUCAAGUCUAUGUUUUCAUAUACUCCAAAAAUAUAACAGAAUGUAUCAAUGGGCCUUGUGCCUAUAAACUUUAUA
rnacentral:misc_RNA from 1 species